rnacentral:rRNA from 1 species
UACGGGGGGGGCAAGCGUUGUUCGGAAUUACUGGGCGUAAAGGGCGCGUAGGCGGCCUGCUAAGUCGGGUGUGAAAACUCUGGGCUCAACCCAGAGCCUGCAUUCGAUACUGACGGGCUAGAGUUCUGGAGGGGAAAGCGGAAUUCCUGGUGUAGCGGCGAAAUGCGUAGAUAUCAGGAGGAACACCGGUGGCGAAGGCGGCUUUCUGGACAGAAACUGACGCUGAGGCGCGAAAGCUAGGGGAGCAAACAGG